rnacentral:lncRNA from 1 species
UUUGUUUUUCUGUUUUUGUUUUUUUUAUUUCUAAUGUUCGUAAAAACUUUACAAAGAUAAAGAUCAAGGCCUUUAUAGCCAGAUACAACCAUCAAAUUUUUCAUUUAUCUACCUAUAUUUACUGCCAUUACUGUUAGCAUGUUUCUUUGUUGUUGCAUUCAAUUUUUGCAGGGGUUUCGAGGCCGACGGUGGUGACAGAGGCAUGCGCAAGGAGGCUGGCGGCUAGGGGUUAGAAGACCUAGGUGCGGCGCACCUAGGGUUUUUUACUGUUUUUUUUUAUUCUGUUGGGCUAGGGCUGUUAGGUUUAGUUUGGGCUGUUUGUAAUUAUUUUGGACUAUGGGCCUUUUUUAUUUUGGGUUUUGUUUAUUUAGUGUUUGGUUUUGUUUGGGUCAUAUUGGGCCCCGGGCAAAAAUGGGCCACUACAGUUAACACCACCGGUGUAAGUAGAUCCCACCUCUUUAUUUAUAUAUUUAUUUAUAAAUAAUUGGAAUAUCUUACUGUAUAUUUGGUGGGGUUCCGAGGAUCAAA